UACGAAGGGGGCUAGCGUUGUUCGGAAUUACUGGGCGUAAAGGGCGCGUAGGCGGUCCUGAUCGUCGGAUGUGAAAGGCCUGGGCUCAACCUGGGAACUGCAUCCGAUACGGCGGGACUGGAGUGUGGGAGAGGUUGGUGGAAUUCCCAGUGUAGAGGUGAAGUUCGUAGAUAGUUGGGAAGAACACCGGUGGCGAAGGCGGCCAACUGGACAGUGACUGACGCUGAGACGCGAAAGCGUGGGGAGCAAACAGG
rnacentral:rRNA from 1 species